GAUGAACGCUGGCGGCGUGCUUAACACAUGCAAGUCGAACGGAAAGGCUCCUGCUUGCAGGGGUACUCGAGUGGCGAACGGGUGAGUAACACGUGGGUGAUCUGCCCUGCACUUCGGGAUAAGCCUGGGAAACUGGGUCUAAUACCGGAUAGGACGAUGGUUUGGAUGCCAUUGUGGAAAGUUUUUCGGUGUGGGAUGAGCUCGCGGCCUAUCAGCUUGUUGGUGGGGUAAUGGCCUACCAAGGCGUCGACGGGUAGCCGGCCUGAGAGGGUGUACGGCCAAAUUGGGAAUGGGGAACGGCCCAGAGUCCAAGGGGAGGAAGGGGUGGGAAAAAUUACAAAAGGGGGGCAAGCUGGAUGGAGGGGCGCGGGGGGGGGAAUACCGGCCUUGGGGUUGAAAACUCCUUUGGCGGGGAACGAAGGGAAAGGAAGGGAACCGGGAAAAAAAACACCGGCAAAAUAGGG
rnacentral:rRNA from 1 species